UACGUAGGUGUCAAGCGUUAUCCGGAAUUACUGGGCGUAAAGGGCACGCAGGCGGUUUAGGAAGUCCGACGUGAAAGCUUCCGGCUUAACUGGGAGAGGUCGUUGGAAACUUUUAGACUUGAGACGGUGAGAGGGAGGCGGAAUUCCCGGUGUAGUGGUGGAAUGCGUAGAUAUCGGGAAGAACACCAGUGGCGAAAGCGGCCUCCUGGCACUGUUCUGACGCUGAGGUGCGAAAGCGUGGGGAGCGAACGGG
rnacentral:rRNA from 1 species